CAGACUUGCUGAGAGUCUGACAAAAACAGAGAUGUCAAAGAAACUGUAAAAAGCACAGCUCUGGGGUGGAUUCAGCAGUAUAUUUUCCAGAUCAGCACAUCAACUUCAGAUCUGUGACACCGGCCAGGCAGCCUGAAUCAAUUAAUUUGAAAGCCUCGAAGAGCAUGGACCUUGUGCCAGAUGAAAGCAAGGUUCACUCAUUGGCUGGACAAAAAUCGGAAUCUCCAAGCAAAGAUUUUGGUCCAACUCUGGGUUUGAAAAAGUCCAGCUCCUUGGAGAGUCUGCAGACUGCAGUGGCCGAGGUCAGGAAGAAUGACCUUCCCUUUCACAGGCCCCGGCCGCACAUGGUUCGAGGCCGAGGCUGCAAUGAGAGCUUUAGAGCAGCCA
rnacentral:lncRNA from 1 species